GUGGGGAAUAUUGCACAAUGGGCGAAAGCCUGAUGCAGCAACGCCGCGUGAGCGAUGAAGGCCUUCGGGUCGUAAAGCUCUGUCCUCAAGGAAGAUAAUGACGGUACUUGAGGAGGAAGCCCCGGCUAACUACGUGCCAGCAGCCGCGGUAAUACGUAGGGGGCUAGCGUUAUCCGGAAUUACUGGGCGUAAAGGGUGCGUAGGUGGUUUUUUAAGUCAGAAGUGAAAGGCUACGGCUCAACCGUAGUAAGCUUUUGAAACUGAGAAACUUGAGUGCAGGAGAGGAGAGUAGAAUUCCUAGUGUAGCGGUGAAAUGCGUAGAUAUUAGGAGGAAUACCAGUUGCGAAGGCGGCUCUCUGGACUGUAACUGACACUGAGGCACGAAAGCGUGGGGAGCAAACAGGAUUAGAAACCCCAGUAGUCC
rnacentral:rRNA from 1 species